rnacentral:rRNA from 1 species
GACGAACGCUGGCGGCGUGCUUAACACAUGCAAGUCGAACGGGAUCCGGGCUUUCGGGUUUGGUGAGAGUGGCGAACGGGUGAGUAACACGUGAGUAACCUGCCCCCUUCUUUGGGAUAACGUCGGGAAAUCGGCGCUAAUACUGGAUAUUCUUGCUGCAUCGCAUGGUGUGGUUUGGAAAGGGUUUCUGGUGGGGGAUGGGCUCGCGGCCUAUCAGCUUGUUGGUGGGGUGAUGGCCUACCAAGGCUUUGACGGGUAGCCGGGCUGAGAGGGUGUCCGGCCACACUGGGACUGAGACACGGCCCAGACUCCUACGGGAGGCAGCAGUGGGGAAUAUUGCACAAUGGGCGCAAGCCUGAUGCAGCGACGCCGCGUGAGGGAUGACGGCCUUCGGGUUGUAAACCUCUUUCAGUAUGGAACAAGGAUCCUUCUUGUGGGGGGUUUGAGGGUACGUGCAGAAGAAGCGCCGGCUAACUACGUG